GGCGAUAUAGCUCAGUUGGUUAGAGCGAGGGAUUCAUAAGCCCUAGGUCCCUGGUUCGAAUCCAGGUAUCGCCA
rnacentral:tRNA from 3 species